rnacentral:tRNA from 2 species
GUAGUCGUGGCCGAGUGGUUAAGGCGAUGGUCUCGAAAUCCAUUGGGGUUUCCCCACGCAGGUUCGAAUCCUGCCGACUACG